rnacentral:rRNA from 1 species
CCUACGGGUGGCAGCAGUGGGGAAUAUUGCACAAUGUGGGAAACCCUGAUGCAGCAACGCCGCGUGAGUGAAGAAGUCUUUCUGUAUGUAAAGCUCUAUCAGCAGGGAAGAAGAUGACGGUACCUGACCAAGAAUCCCCGGCUAACUCCGUUCCCGCAGCCGCGGGCAUACGUAGGGGGCAAGCGUUAUCCGGAUUUACUGGGUGUAACGGGAGCGCCGGCGGCCGUGCAAGUCUGGAGUGAAAGCCCGGGGCCCAACCCCGGAACUGCUCGUGAAACUGUGAGGCUAGAGUACGGGAGGGGCAGGCGGAAUUCCUAGUGUAGCGGUGAAAUGCGUAGAUAUUAGGAGGAACACCAGUGGCGAAGGCGGCCUGCUGGACAGUAACUGACGUUGAGGCUCGAAAGCGUGGGGAGCAAACAGGAUUAGAUACCCGAGUAGUC